rnacentral:rRNA from 1 species
AACGAACGCUGGCGGCAGGCUUAGCACAUGCAAGUCGAACGCCCCGCAAGGGGAGUGGCAGACGGGUGAGUAACACGUGGGAACGUGCCCAAAGGUACGGAACAACUCCGGGAAACUGGAGCUAAUACCGUAUGUGUCCGCAAGGAGAAAGAUUUAUCGCCUUUGGAUCGGCCCGCGUCGGAUUAGCUAGUUGGUGGGGUAAUGGCCUACCAAGGCGACGAUCCGUAGCUGGUUUGAGAGAACGACCAGCCACACUGGGACUGAGACACGGCCCAGACUCCUACGGGAGGCAGCAGUGGGAAAUCUUGGACAAUGGGCGCAAGCCUGAUCCAGCCAUGCCGCGUGGAUGAUGAAGGCCUUAGGGUUGUAAAAUCCUUUCGUCAGGGACGAUAAUGACGGUACCUGAAGAAGAAGCCCCGGCUAACUUCGUGCCAGCCGCCGCCGUAA